UUUUUGAAUUUAAAACUCCAAUUUCUUUCACCAUUAAGGAAAACAUACUUUUCUCGCAAUUUUAAACCAUUCCAAAAGAGGAAAGGGAAGAUGGACGAGCUCGAUCGAUCUCUCGUCCUUAAAGCGCCACGCGGCUCAAUCUCAAGGCUAUAAGGACGAAAUUGCAGAUGUCUUACCUGCUCUGUGCUGCUGCGACUGUUGGAAGAUGAUGUUAAC
rnacentral:lncRNA from 1 species